rnacentral:ncRNA from 2 species
ACGUAACGACAGGGGAGCGCGAGAGCGCUGAGAGUGCGGGCGACCGCAGACCCUCACACCUGAUCCGGUUCGCACCGGCGUAGGGAGUCGAGAAUCUCGAGCA